rfam:Oryza glumipatula chromosome 4, whole genome shotgun sequence.
AAAAAGGUAAACCCUAAAUUUUCGUGUCCAACAUUUGACUGUUCGUCUUAUAUGAAAUAUUUUUUAUAAUUGGUAUUUUCACUGUGGUUAGAUGAUAAAACAUGAUUAAUAUUUUAUGCGUGACUUGUCUUUUUAACUUUUUCAUAACUUUUUUAAAUAAGACGAUCAAACGUUGGACACGGAAACUGAGGGUUUGUCUUUUU